rnacentral:rRNA from 1 species
AUUGAACGCUGGCGGCAGGCCUAACACAUGCAAGUCGAGCGGAUGAAGGGAGCUUGCUCCUGGAUUCAGCGGCGGACGGGUGAGUAAUGCCUAGGAAUCUGCCUGGUAGUGGGGGAUAACGUCCGGAAACGGGCGCUAAUACCGCAUACGUCCUGAGGGAGAAAGUGAGGGAUCUUCGGACCUCACGCUAUCAGAUGAGCCUAGGUCGGAUUAGCUAGUUGGUGGGGUAAAGGCCUACCAAGGCGACGAUCCGUAACUGGUCUGAGAGGAUGAUCAGUCACACUGGAACUGAGACACGGCCCAGACUCCUACGGGAGGCAGCAGUGGGGAAUAUUGGACAAUGGGCGAAAGCCUGAUCCAGCCAUGCCGCGUGUGUGAAGAAGGUCUUCGGAUUGUAAAGCACUUUAAGUUGGGAGGAAGGGCAGUAAGUUAAUACCUUGCUGUUUUGACGUUACCAACAGAAUAAGCACCGGCUAACUUCGUG